CCUACGGGAGGCAGCAGUGGGGAAUUUUGGACAAUGGGCGCAAGCCUGAUCCAGCAAUGCCGCGUGCAGGAUGAAGGCCUUCGGGUUGUAAACUGCUUUUGUACGGAACGAAACGGUUCGCUUUAAUACAGUGGGCUAAUGACGGUACCGUAAGAAUAAGCACCGGCUAACUACGUGCCAGCAGCCGCGGUAAUACGUAGGGUGCGAGCGUUAAUCGGAAUUACUGGGCGUAAAGCGUGCGCAGGCGGUUUUGUAAGACAGAUGUGAAAUCCCCGGGCUCAACCUGGGACCUGCAUUUGUGACUGCAAGGCUAGAGUACGGUAGAGGGGGAUGGAAUUCCGCGUGUAGCAGUGAAAUGCGUAGAUAUGCGGAGGAACACCGAUGGCGAAGGCAAUCCCCUGGACCUGUACUGACGCUCAUGCACGAAAGCGUGGGGAGCAAACAGGAUUAGAUACCCUGGUAGUCCACGCCCUAAACGAUGUCAACUGGUUGUUGGGUCUUCACUGACUCAGUAACGAAGCUAACGCGUGAAGUUGACCGCCUGGGGAGUACGGCCGCAAGGUUGAAACUCAAAUGAAUUGAGG
rnacentral:rRNA from 1 species